rnacentral:rRNA from 1 species
UUAAAUUGAAGAGUUUGAUCAUGGCUCAGAUUGAACGCUGGCGGCAGGCCUAACACAUGCAAGUCGAACGGUAACAGGAAGCAGCUUGCUGCUUUGCUGACGAGUGGCGGACGGGUGAGUAAUGUCUGGGAAACUGCCUGAUGGAGGGGGAUAACUACUGGAAACGGUGGCUAAUACCGCAUAACGUCGCAAGACCAAAGAGGGGGACCUUCGGGCCUCUUGCCAUCAGAUGUGCCCAGAUGGGAUUAGCUAGUUGGUGAGGUAACGGCUCACCAAGGCGACGAUCCCUAGCUGGUCUGAGAGGAUGACCAGCCACACUGGAACUGAGACACGGUCCAGACUCCUACGGGAGGCAGCAGUGGGGAAUAUUGCACAAUGGGCGCAAGCCUGAUGCAGCCAUGCCGCGUGUAUGAAGAAGGCCUUCGGGUUGUAAAGUACUUUCAGCGGGGAGGAAGGUGUUGUGGUUAAUAACCGCAGCAAUUGACGUUACCCGCAGAAGAAGCACCGGCUAACUCCGUGCCAGCAGCCGCGGUAAUACGGAGGGUGCAAGCGUUAAUCGGAAUUACUGGGCGUAAAGCGCACGCAGGCGGUCUGUCAAGUCGGAUGUGAAAUCCCCGGGCUCAACCUGGGAACUGCAUUCGAAACUGGCAGGCUUGAGUCUUGUAGAGGGGGGUAGAAUUCCAGGUGUAGCGGUGAAAUGCGUAGAGAUCUGGAGGAAUACCGGUGGCGAAGGCGGCCCCCUGGACAAAGACUGACGCUCAGGUGCGAAAGCGUGGGGAGCAAACAGGAUUAGAUACCCUGGUAGUCCACGCCGUAAACGAUGUCUACUUGGAGGUUGUGCCCUUGAGGCGUGGCUUCCGGAGCUAACGCGUUAAGUAGACCGCCUGGGGAGUACGGCCGCAAGGUUAAAACUCAAAUGAAUUGACGGGGGCCCGCACAAGCGGUGGAGCAUGUGGUUUAAUUCGAUGCAACGCGAAGAACCUUACCUGGUCUUGACAUCCACAGAACUUUCCAGAGAUGGAUUGGUGCCUUCGGGAACUGUGAGACAGGUGCUGCAUGGCUGUCGUCAGCUCGUGUUGUGAAAUGUUGGGUUAAGUCCCGCAACGAGCGCAACCCUUAUCCUUUGUUGCCAGCGGUCCGGCCGGGAACUCAAAGGAGACUGCCAGUGAUAAACUGGAGGAAGGUGGGGAUGACGUCAAGUCAUCAUGGCCCUUACGACCAGGGCUACACACGUGCUACAAUGGCGCAUACAAAGAGAAGCGACCUCGCGAGAGCAAGCGGACCUCAUAAAGUGCGUCGUAGUCCGGAUUGGAGUCUGCAACUCGACUCCAUGAAGUCGGAAUCGCUAGUAAUCGUGGAUCAGAAUGCCACGGUGAAUACGUUCCCGGGCCUUGUACACACCGCCCGUCACACCAUGGGAGUGGGUUGCAAAAGAAGUAGGUAGCUUAACCUUCGGGAGGGCGCUUACCACUUUGUGAUUCAUGACUGGGGUGAAGUCGUAACAAGGUAACCGUAGGGGAACCUGCGGUUGGAUCACCUCCUUACCUUAAAGAA